GGUUUGUGGCUCAGCGGUAGAGUGUUUGUCUAGCAUGUGCGAGGCCCUGGGUUCGGUCCUCAGCACCA
rnacentral:tRNA from 1 species